rnacentral:rRNA from 1 species
CAGCAGCCGCGGUAAUACAGAGGGGGCAAGCGUUGUUCGGAAUUACUGGGCGUAAAGGGCGCGUAGGCGGCCUUCUAAGUCGAACGUGAAAUCCCCGGGCUCAACCCGGGAACUGCGUCCGAUACUGGAAGGCUUGAAUCCGGGAGAGGGAUGCGGAAUUCCAGGUGUAGCGGUGAAAUGCGUAGAUAUCUGGAGGAACACCGGUGGCGAAGGCGGCAUCCUGGACCGGCAUUGACGCUGAGGCGCGAAAGCCAGGGGAGCAAACGGGAUUAGAUACCCCGGUAGUCCUAGCCGUAAACGAUGGACACUAGGUGUUGGUGGUAUCAACCCCGCCAGUGCCGAAGCUAACGCAUUAAGUGUCCCGCCUGGGGAGUACGGCCGCAAGGCUAAAACUCAAAGGAAUUGACGG